rnacentral:rRNA from 1 species
CAGGUCUGUGAUGCCCUUAGAUGUUCUGGGCCGCACGCGCGCUACACUGACUGGUUCAUCGAGUUUACAACCUUGACCGAUAGGUCUGGGUAAUCUUUUGAAAGCCAGUCGUGCUGGGGAUAGAUCAUUGCAAUUAUUGAUCUUUAACGAGGAAUUCCUAGUAAACGCGAGUCAUCAACUCGCAUUGAUUACGUCCCUGCCCUUUGUACACACCGCCCGU